rnacentral:rRNA from 1 species
GGACUACCCGGGUAUCUAAUCCUGUUUGCUCCCCACGCUUUCGUGCCUGAGCGUCAAUCUCAGCCCAGGGGGCUGCCUUCGCCAUCGGUGUUCCUCCACAUCUCUACGCAUUUCACUGCUACACGUGGAAUUCCACCCCCCUCUGCCAGAUUCAAGUCUCCUAGUUUCCACUGCCAUUCCCAGGUUGAGCCCGGGGAUUUCACAACGGACUUGAAAGACCGCCUACGCACUCUUUACGCCCAGUAAUUCCGAUUAACGCUCGCACCCUACGUAUUACCGCGGCUGCUGGCAC